UAGUCCAAGCUCAUAUUCACACAUCGAUUGGCCUUAAUUCAAAACCGAAAACUUUGUAAGCACUUUACGCCAUUUACGGGUCAUAUGCCGGUGACCGAAAGUGUGUUUUUUUACAAUAACUCCAGUUGGCCCAUGUGGCACACAUGCACACACACACGGGCUUGAAGUGUAGCCUUAUUACAAUAACUAAGCGUAUUUUAUGAUUGCUGAAUAAAAUCGAAAGCUACUUUCAAAUUGUAGGUAGGUGUUUGUGUGUAUGUGCUUUUAGAGUUUUAGAGGUGAGCACUUUAAUUCGCCCGGUAGAUAUGUUAGCUGAAAGUGAGUGAGGCUGCAAAUUUUAUGUGUUAUGGCAUGCGUCCCAGUAGGAAAGUUCAUAGACGUGGAAAGAUAAUAGUUUCCAACAAAAUUGUGUAUCAAAUUUAAAAUCGGACUUUCGAAUGGUAUCAUAAUCACGAUCAUCAAAAGUGUUUGGAAUGAGACGGAAUUUGACCCAGUCAGUUCGGGAGACAUAUAUAUUCUAACGAUCCAAGUUCGGUUCAGACACAUAAAUACCAAAGAACCGAUACCAAAUUGAUCAGGAACGAUACAUAAUAGUCAACAAACAUAAGAGGUAAAGGACGAUAAUGCGGACUUCACUCUAACCGCGACACAAAACUUCACUUUAUGACACAGUAACCUAUUCCAAAUCUCUUAACUUUGGCUAAGCCAUUUGUAGUUACAUCGAUAAUAUAAUGGUAAACUUCAUCAAAGCAGCACAUGGAUCCGGAGUCUCUAGCGAUAAUCUUCGGAGAAUACUUCUUUAAGCGGUGAAAUGAUCCAUCUUUCUUAUUAAGACAUAACCUUUAUUCUUGGGUUGAAAUCAAAGACUCCCACAACGAAGGCCUAGACGAUCUAGACUUUAAAUUAGGAAAUUCAAAACUCUAGAUCAACCACAUUCCAGCAAGGUACAGAAAACGUGUACCGCUUGAAAUUUAGUGCUAUACUUUUCUCUAUAAUACUCAAGUGAACUCAGAUAAUGGAUCUUAAGGAACCCUGUAACCAACCCUUAGGAAGCGAACAUGUUUCGGUAAUCAUUUAAUAAAUAGUAAUUGUGAAUGAGUUCUUUAAACGUUACCCAAGUUCCUAAUUAAAUAUAGCAUAGGGAACAGCAGGCGAUUUAAUCAACCAAGAUCGUUGGAUGAAUAGACUUUUUAAAGCACAAAACUUUAAAUUUCCAUAUAGUGGAAAACCGCAAAGGUUAAUCCAACAAAAUUACCUGCUCAAAUAAGAAGCAUGGGAGAUCUCAGGAGCUAGAAUACCGCAAACGAAAAUAAUCAAACAGAGUAUUUAAUGUUCUCCAUAUUCUUUCGAUAACAAAUAUAUAGCCACAGGGAAGAAUUUAAAAAAUACAUCCGAAUUCGCCUCUAAAAGACAUCCAACUUCACCUGAAAAAUGAUGCAGCCAUUAAAAAAUCUAAAUCGAGUAUAACGUUACGAUAUAUCCAUUUAUCAUAUACAUUCCGCUAUUACAGCGGACACGUAAACCUCAAAUUUCCUACAGUGCCUGAAAUACAACAUAUCUGUGUGUGACUAAAAGUUUUGCAUUUAGCUCUAUAUUUUAUGGGCUCUUCUAAACUACUCAGGUGUUAAUUAAAUUUAAUAUUUGUGUCCGAAUAGGGUUUCAUUUAAGUCGAAAAGUAGAUUUAUGCACAACCCUGAGUGGUUUUAAAGCAUUUCACUUCGCCUUUUAUGCGUAUCCAUUGGCAAUGCAUUUAUAGUCAUUAAGAAGAGCAAUUUGCAUGUGUGAAAAGGACGAAUAUAGAAGCAAAAUAAAAUACUGGAUAGUUUAAAGAUCGGUACAUUGAAAAUGGAUUUGUACAUAAAACCAUAUCCAUACAUAGUACAAGUUUCUCUCGAGGCGAAUUUUUCACCAGCAAAAUCAUUCACCGUAGGCAGAAACAGUUAGUAAUCCCAACCAAGCUCCCGGAGCUUCUGGGGAAUAAUUAUUGUGAUGCGAUUGACCUGGCAUUGUCUUGAUGCAACACAAUUACUCGCCGAUUGGUCUGGGCGAUUGCUCCUUCAAGCGGUCCAAAUGUUGCAAUUCUGAAAUAACGAUUUGGUCGCAGUGGAGCUUAUUUAAAAAUUAAAAAAAUACGCUUAUGUAAUGGGUUCAAAUACCAGACAGAAACAAAUAAUAUUUUAUUUAAAAUGAAAAAGUUUUAAUUGCAAGGAAACAAUAGUAUAGCAUACUUUUAGGAUCUACGGAUAAAAAAGUUGAAAUAUAUGUAAUUAUAAAAUCCAUGGAGUGAAAACAGGAGUUGGAAUUAGUUGUUGUUGAUGUUUAAAAAUAAAAAAUUCUUUGAUUUCGAUAACAUAUUUAUUAGACCGAUUUGGGUUUCAGGACACAAUAUUUAGAAUAAAUAAUAUAUUUGAAUAAAUAUAGUACACUACUGGUGGAUCAUUCUCUGGGAGAUCAAUUUUGAAGUGCGAUCACCCAAAAGCAUUUAUUCACGGAAUCCUAGGAUGGUGAUGUUUUCAGCGUCCUUUAGGUCAAUGGCGAAAAUUACCGAUUGUUGGAACCAUAGUUCGAUGUUUUAACAAGGACCAGAGAACCUCAUUUAUGAGGCAAUUAAUGAUAUCAACGCUUUAAACCCUCUUUAGGGUAAUAAUCGACACUAAUUGUUCAAAUAUCAUUGAAUAUCCUUAUAUUUUUCCUAUCCUUAUAUUAAACACUGCCGAAGCAUAAAAAUGUUUGCUUAGUCAAGAAAGUUUAAAAAAUCGUAUAUAAAGGCAUGCGAAACUAAAUAAAAAUCAGAAUAAAAAAUGUCUCGCUCAGUGAUAGUCUUUAAUUGCCCUCCACCAGUGGUAAGGAAUUUAAAAUACUCCAUUGAGUUAACAUAUUGGAAGAAAAGGCUGAACUAAAUUACGAAGAAGGAAAGAAAGGUAGAACAGCUUUAGUAUAGGCUUAACGCCGCGAACAAACGUUCUCUUCAGCGUGAUAUGCUGUUAGAAAAACUUGGAAAACUUUAGUGUUCGAUCCCACGAUACUGUGCUUAAAAUGAGUGUGGAUAGUGUAUUCUCCGGAUUAAGAAUAUAAACAGAAGGACCUCGCCUAACGGACACCUCUCUUACGCUGAUUAUUACAGCCGUCGGAAAACAGUAAUUUUCGAGAAAUUCGCAUUUAAAAAAUUCCCAAAUUUAAAUAUGGAAAAUCUUGAUUUAUAGUGAAGUUUUCAUUUAAGUUGUGAAUUUGCAAUUUAUAUUAAACACUUCCCUACAUUGUGACCACAUAUUUAUUUAACAUCAAUUAUUUAAAUAUUUGCUUUAAAUAAGCAUUUCAGUUUUUACAAUUUCUGCUUUCCAUUUUAGCAAAUAUUAAAAAAUAAAUUAUCCAUUUUAAUAAAAGCAAAAAGUUUUUGGUCUUAUAUGUCUGCUUUAUUGCUUCAAUUAAUUUAACAAAUGUUUCUUGGAUUGGCAAUAUUUUUGCUACAUAUGCAUGCCAUUGUAUUUGAAAAAUAUUCACUAUUAUUGUAAUUGUCUUUUAUAAAAAUCCGUUUAACGUUUAAUUACCUGCCACUGGCACUUAAUUCGUUGUGUAUGAGUUCUUUCCUCUGCAACAAAUGGAUUGUCUGGGUCGCUAUGAUUUAUGCGACAAUGCUCAUACCCCUAACUAUAUAGGCACGUGCCUUUGUAUUAAAGGUAUGAACACAGCAGCAGACCUGACGUAUUCCGAACACACUUCCACCCAGAGGUCGUCACUCCUGUCCUUGAUCUUUCCAAGAACGCAGUGGCUUUUGAAUAGAUAAUAUGUUGUCAAUUGUUUUGGCAGAUCUGCUAUAAUGUUACUGCUUCGGGCAGUAUGAGCACCUCAGCAGACCUGACGUAUUCCGAACACACUUCCACCCAGAGGUCUUCACUCCCGUCCUCGAUCAUUCCAAGAACGAAAUGGUUUUUGAAUAUAUAAUAUAUUAUCUAUUGUUUUGGCAGAUCUGCUAUAAUGUUACUGCUUCGGGCAGUAUGAGCACCUCAGCAGAUCUGACGUAUUCCGAACACACUUCCACCCAGAGGUCGUCACUCCUGUCCUCGUUCAAUUCUAAGAACGUAGUGGCUUUCGAAUAUAUAAUAUAUUGUUUAUCGCUUUGGCAGAUUUACCUGACGUAUUCAGAACACACUUCCACCCAGAGAUCUUCACUCCCGUCCUCGAUCAUUCCAAGAGAGAAAUGGUUUUUGAAUAUAUAAAAUACUAUCUAUUGUUUUGGCAGAUCUGCUAU